rnacentral:rRNA from 1 species
CAGGAAAUCUUCUCCACUUCUUGAAGGUGUUUAAGUUUGCGGCAUAAAAAAUAAAAUGAAAUCCUGCUUCAUUAGAGGGAUUGCCUUUUAUACUGCUCACUUGUUCCUUUAUUGUGAGUGGAAUUUUAGUGUUUAGUGAAAUUCAUAGUAUUUUUAAGAACACCAGUGGAGAAACGGCUCACUGGACUGGUAUUGAACUGAGGUGCAAAGCGUGGGGAGCAAACAGGAUUAGAUCCCUGGUAGUCCAGCCGUAAACGAUGAUAACUACUGUCCGGGGACUUGUUCUUUGGUUGCCUAUCUCUGCAUUAUCUUAUCCCCUGGUUAUUACGGUCGCAAAUUAAAACUCAAAGGAAUGACGGGGGCCUGCAAAUGUUGAAUCAUGUGUUUAUUCAACCACCCCCAAACCUUACCGCUUUAUUGUCCGAAUAUUUCAAAUAUUUUUUUCCCUUCUCGAUGAACCGGUGCUGCAGGCUGUCGUCCCUCCUUCUGUUUGUUUAUAC